rnacentral:rRNA from 1 species
CCUACGGGAGGCAGCAGUGGGGAAUAUUGGGCAAUGGAGGAAACUCUGACCCAGCGACGCCGCGUGCGGGAUGAAGGCCUUCGGGUUGUAAACCGCUUUCAGUAGGGAAGAAGCGAAAGUGACGGUACCUACAGAAGAAGCACCGGCUAACUAUGUGCCAGCAGCCGCGGUAAUACAUAGGGUGCAAGCGUUGUCCGGAAUUAUUGGGCGUAAAGAGCUCGUAGGUGGUUCGUCACGUCGGAUGUGAAAAUCUGGGGCUCAACCCCAGACCUGCAUUCGAUACGGGCGAUCUAGAGUGUGGUAGGGGAGACUGGAAUUCCUGGUGUAGCGGUGGAAUGCGCAGAUAUCAGGAGGAACACCAAUGGCGAAGGCAGGUCUCUGGGCCAUUACUGACACUGAGGAGCGAAAGCGUGGGGAGCGAACAGGAUUAGAUACCCUGGUAGUCCACGCCGUAAACGGUGGGCACUAGUUGUGGGAACCUUCCACGGUUUCUGCGACGCAGCUAACGCAUUAAGUGCCCCGCCUGGGGAGUACGAUCGCAAGNUUAAAACUCAAAUGAAUUGACGGCUGAGACGNGCGACGACGACGACGAGGGAGAGG